rnacentral:lncRNA from 1 species
GAAUAAAAAUUAUGUUAUUUAUUGAUGAAAAUGUUGUGAAAAAGAAGAGAACUAAAAUGACAAGAUGGUUCACUUUCUUUAACUUUAAAAGGAAAAAAAAAUGAAGGAUCAGAAUAGUCCUCUUUUGCCUGUUUCAGUAAAGCCCCUUUCUUCAGUCACAUACAAACUUCUCUUAUGUACACAAAGUAAUCUCCAACCAACCAGUAGCAUCAUCUCUCAAUACCUAAACAAGUGAAACUAGAAGAAGGAGCCUAUGCAGAAAAAUUUGAAUGGAAAGAAGGGAAGAGAGACAGAUCACAGGGCAAUAAAGAGGGGGGGGGGAAUGAAUGAACAAAUCAUAAAGAGCUGACACUCUACACUAAUGAGGUUCCCUGGUUAUGAAUCAUCUUCUUAAGAAGUUAAGUGGGAUUAUUGGAGAAGUUUCACAAGGGUAAUGAGGAGUCCUAGAAGAGUGAUUCUUUCUAGUAUUAACCGCUAUAGUGCCUCACAGAGUACUCCAAUACUUCUUUGCUUGGACAGACAAUCUCCUUUACUCGAGUACCGUUUUUGUAUAUCUUCACUGUUGGUACAACCCUCACGUUCUCUGCAUUACCUAUCGAAGGACAUUUAUCGAUGUCCACCUAACCCAAAAAAGAUAGGUUUAGAGACAAUAGCUUCCUAAGUUAAAUUAUUAUAAAAUACUCCAUCUGUUCCUGAAAGUAAGAUUUUCUAUAGUAUGCACGCUUAUUAAAAAUUUAAUAAAUGUUUAUAAUUUAAUUUAUUUUUUACUUUCUUAUACACUUUCCAAUAAUUUUCCACCAAUAAAAUUUAAUCAAUUCAAAUAUUCUCAAUUAAUGUUCCUCAAAAGUAUAAAAAAAUACCUUAACAAUAUAGAAAAUCUAUCUUUGUGGAACGUUAUAUACCAAACCAUAUCCAAAUCCUACGGUUUUUAUAAAAUUAUAUCCAUUCGGUUUAUAUGGUAUAUACCAAAACCAAACCAUAUUGUCUAUUUCGGUUCGGUUCGGUUCAGUACGGUUCGGUUUUACCAUAUUGAACAGCCCUAACGGCUGCUGACUAGAUUUAGAAAAGGCACAAAAUAUAUAUAGUUGUGUCCCAAGCACUAGUGGACCUCAAAAAUGAUUAAAGCCCAACUGAUUCAAAGCAUUAUUCAACACGUUUGGUGAAAAACUCAGAGCCAACUUCGGAGAAACUAAGAAACUCGUCCUCCAGGUUUAAAUAAAAACAGAGCUUUCGUGAUUUCUAUGUUAUUGUUUUCUUUGUUGUGAAUGUUGUUCUCUGUUUUGCAGACGGCUGGACACAAGGAUCUUCUUGAAGAUGAUCCUUACCUGAAACAGAGACUGAGACUUCGUAACUCUUACAUCACAACUCUCAAUGUCUGUCAAGCUUACACUUUGAAGAGGAUCCGUGACCCGAGUUACAAUGUGACGCUACGUUACGUCCUCACAUCUCUAAGGAGAUUGCGGAAUCGAGCAAAGAACUCAUCGAGCUUAACCCGACUAGCGAGUACGCGCCUGGACUCGAAGAUACACUCAUCUUGACCAUGAAGGGUGUCGCUGCUGGUCUACAGAACACCGGUAGAGUAAAAACAGAGAUGAGUCUCCACUCUCCUUUUUAUAUUCCCUCUAAUAAUUGGAAAAUAAAAAAAAAUUGCGGUUGGAUUUCUUGAUUUGUUUUAUGUAAUCCACCGUCAAAGUGUCGAUCUUUGUGUACUAAUAACUCUUACGAGAUCAUGAACACAUGCUCUGUUUUUCUCGGAUGCAACAAAACAGAGCGGGAGAGAAUCUUCUUGUUUGUUUCUCUUACCAAGCGGUUUGAUUCAAAUAAUAAAUAAUAAACCAUUUUGGUUUAGUUUUGCCUCGUAGUGCUUUUGUUUGGUUCGGUUUGACUGUUUCUUUUUUUUAUUUUAUUGUUUCGAUUACGGUUCUUUGUCCUUUGUCCUUUGUCGUCUACUCAACUUUCACACAUGUCGACUCCCGAAAACGGCAGACAUGUUUGCUAAAAGAGGCCGUUGAAAAAGGAAAGUGGUGCAAAGAAAACGACACGGUGUUUAGGUCUCGUCUAUACUCUAUAGACACGCCUUGCAUUUUUUCGAUUCGGUAACGCCCCAAUUGCUGUAUUUAUUGCCGGGAAUUUAUAGCGUACAUGUACGGUAUACCUGUUUUUUACUAAGACGUACUUUUAUGCGUAAUAAGAGUACAUUUUUAGUUUAACUCUCAUAGGUCAAAAAGUUCACACUCCAAAAAGUCGUUGGCUGACAGUCACGCGCCUCUCAACUGAUUUUAAAGUAAGUAAAAGAUAUUCAGAAAUAUUUUUGCUAAAAGUUGAGGAAGGCCAAAGAAAAUGAUUAUCGACAAAAGGAAAAAUACUAGUAUAAAAUUCAACGAAUAAAUAGGUGUCAAUAGACCACGAGUACAGGGCACCGACUACAACCGCGGCAGUAUAGCACCGGCCAAACGACCGCAAAGUUCAUAACUUUUCUUCAUUUUCAGUUGUUCAAAAAAAAAGAGAAAACUUCAUUUGAUAACUUUUUUUAAGUUUAUUUUUACAAAAAUAGUAUUCAAAAAGAAAAAAUGAUCGGAAUAGAUUUUAUUAAAAUUUAAAUAUGCAUUCAUAUCUUUAAGAUUAACUAAUAUUGAUUUAGGAUUUAGAGUUAAUAGUUAAAGUUUUGUAGAUGAAUUUCAAAUUAAAAAAAAAUUAAAAUUUUCAAAAGAAAAAAAAUAUUUUGAUCAUUUUAUUUUUGAAAGCUAUUUUUAUGACAAAAACUUAAAAAUAGUUAUUCGAGAGAAUUGUCAAAAAAAAAAAAGUUAUAUUUAUUUAUGAGCGUUAUUUAUGAGCGUUAUUAUUUUCAUUUUGCAAUAAGUUAUUAGAUUUUAUCUGCUUCUCAAUCCCUUAAAGAGUGGCAACUUACAUAAUUAACAACAGUCGCUUGUGGCACAAACAUAAUCAGUCUCUAAUUAAUCCGUUUCUCCUUUUUCUGUACAGUAACGACUAAAGUAUUAUAACAAACCCAACUUUUAUAUCAAUCACAUUUCUCCCUCUCUUUAAUAGAAAGUUAAUAAUAACAGUCAAAUAUACUAUUUAAUUACAAAAGUGAGAUUAUAUACAAAAUUCUAGUAUUUUUAGAUGGAGUUAUUCAUGAAUUUGGUUAGAAUGUACGAAAAUAAAAUGCAAUAGUAGAAAAUGAAUAAAAAUUAUGUUAUUUAUUGAUGAAAAUGUUGUGAAAAAGAAGAGAACUAAAAUGACAAGAUGGUUCACUUUCUUUAACUUUAAAAGGAAAAAAAAAUGAAGGAUCAGAAUAGUCCUCUUUUGCCUGUUUCAGUAAAGCCCCUUUCUUCAGUCACAUACAAACUUCUCUUAUGUACACAAAGUAAUCUCCAACCAACCAGUAGCAUCAUCUCUCAAUACCUAAACAAGUGAAACUAGAAGAAGGAGCCUAUGCAGAAAAAUUUGAAUGGAAAGAAGGGAAGAGAGACAGAUCACAGGGCAAUAAAGAGGGGGGGGGGAAUGAAUGAACAAAUCAUAAAGAGCUGACACUCUACACUAAUGAGGUUCCCUGGUUAUGAAUCAUCUUCUUAAGAAGUUAAGUGGGAUUAUUGGAGAAGUUUCACAAGGGUAAUGAGGAGUCCUAGAAGAGUGAUUCUUUCUAGUAUUAACCGCUAUAGUGCCUCACAGAGUACUCCAAUACUUCUUUGC